rnacentral:tRNA from 1 species
GCCCUAGUGGUCAGUGGUUGAGCACUCAGCUGCUAACUGAAAGGUUGGUGGUUUGAAUCCACCCAGCGGCU